rnacentral:rRNA from 1 species
ACUCCUACGGGAGGCAGCAGUGGGAAUAUUGGACAAUGGGGGACCGUAGCAUCCAGCCAUGCCGCGUGUGUGAAGAAGGCCUUAUGGUUGUAAAGCACUUUAAGCGAGGAGGAGGCUACUGAGACUAAUACUCUUGGAUAGUGGACGUUACUCGCAGAAUAAGCACCGGCUAACUCUGUGCCAGCAGCCGCGGUAAUACAGAGGGUGCAAGCGUUGUCCGGAAUUAUUGGGCGUAAAGAGCUCGUAGGCGGUUUGUCACGUCUGCUGUGAAAAUCCAAGGCUCAACCUUGGACUUGCAGUGGGUACGGGCAGGCUAGAGUGCGGUAGGGGAGAUGGGAAUUCCUGGUGUAGCGGUGGAAUGCGCAGAUAUCAGGAGGAACACCAAUGGCGAAGGCACAUCUCUGGGCCGUAACUGACGCUGAGGAGCGAAAGCGUGGGGAGCGAACAGGAUUAGAUACCCUGGUAGGUCAGU